rnacentral:rRNA from 1 species
CCUACGGGAGGCAGCAGUGAGGAAUAUUGGUCAAUGGUCGGGAGCCUGAACCAGCCAAGCCGCGUGAGGGAUGAAGGUACAGAGUAUCGUAAACCUCUUUUGUCAGGGAACAAAGGCGGGGACGUGUCCCCGGAGGAGUGUACCUGAAGAAACCGCAUGGGCUAACUCCGGGCCAGCAGCCGCGGUAAUACGGAGGAUCCGAGCGUUAUCGGGAUUUAUUGGGUUUAAAGGGUGCGCAGGCGGGCUGUUAAGUCAGAGGUCAAAGCCGGGGGCUCAACCCCGGACCGCCGUUGAAACUGGAAGGCUCGAGUUGGAGAGAAGUAUGCGGAAUGCGCGGUGUAGCGGUGAAAUGCAUAGAUAUCGCGCAGAACUCCGAUUGCGAAGGCAGCAUGCCGGCUCCACACUGACGCUGAGGCACGAAAGCGUGGGUAUCGAACAGGAUUAGAUACCCGUGUAGUC